rnacentral:rRNA from 1 species
AACUAUGCCUGAGUAGGAUGAAGCCGGAGGAAACUCUGGUGGAGGUCCGAAGCGCUUUUGACGUGCAAAUCAAUCGUCAGACUUGGGUAUAGGGGCGAAAGACUAAUCGAACCAUCUAGUAGCUGGUUCCCUUCGAAGUUUCCCCCAGGAAAGCUGGUGCCAUGUUUGACAGUUUUAUCUGGUAAAGCGAAUGAUUAGAGGCAUUGGGGACGAAUUGUCCUCGACCUAUUCUCAAACUUUAAAUGGGUAAUGUACCGUUGUACUUCUUGAUAUUCAUGAGUGCUCGGUCAAAUGCAAUGGCRCCAAGUGGGCCAUUUUUGGUAAGCAGAACUGGCGAUGUGGGAUGAACCAAACGUUGAGCUAGGAUGCCCAAAGUGCUUCUCAUGAGAUACCAUGAAAGGUGUCAGUCGAUAUUGACAGCAGGACGGUGGCCGCAGAAGUAGGAAUCCGCUAAGGAGUGUGUAACAACUCACCUGCCGAAUCGACUGGUCCUGAAAAUGGAUGGCGCUGGAGACGUAUAUCCAUGCUCGACCGUCAAUGCCAACGAAAGCGAUUGCUAUAUGGCUUGACGUGUAGAAGGGCGAUUGCCGUGGCGUCGAAACUUGCACCGUGAGGUGGGGUAGAGCUGCGGCAUGUGCAGAUCUUGGUGGUAGUAGCAAGUAUUCAAAUGAGAGCAUUGAAGACUGAAGUGGAGUAAGGUUCCAUGUGAACAGCAUUUGGACAUGGAUCAGCCGAUCCUAAGAGAACGUGUAAGUUCGUGAUUAAGCGCGUCGCCUUGUGCGUCGCAAUCGAAAGGGAAUCGGGUUAAUAUUCCCGAGCCAGGAUACGGAAUGAGCCUGAUUAAUCGAAAGUACCUUGUGUGCUUUUGACUUCAGGCAAAAGCGGCAACGCCAACAAACCCAGAGAUUAACUAUGCGAAGUCCGGGGAAGAGUUUUCUCUUCUUUGUAAGGGAUGUUAUCCCUGGAAACAGAUUGUCUGGCGAUAGGGUACGCAUCCCGUAAUGCAACGCGAUUCCUGCGAUGUACCGUGCGCUUCGUAUAGUGCUUGAAAAUCUGGGAGCGAGUUUGUUCAGGCCGUACCUGUUCGUACUGAUUUCCGCAGCAGGUCUCCAAGGUGAGCAGCCUCUAGUCGAUGGGACAAAGUAGACAAGGGAAGUCGGCAAAUUAGAUCCGUAACUUCGGAAAAAGGAUUGGCUCUAAAGGCUGAGUUGGUCGGGCGGUUGCGUWAAGCUGGGAGCGAUGCUUUGACUCUGUCUCAGACUCCAUACUCGCAAGGGAUAUGUAAUCGGCGGCGGAGCUUAGUAUUUGCUCACUGUGGACCGCGGUCGCUAUGCCACCCAUGCGGUGUCAAAAUUCAUUUUCGAGCCGUGCGGUGUGGAUCCGAUCAGCGUUUAACAGCUGACCUAGAACUGGUAUGGACAAGGGGAAUCCAACUGUUUAAUUAAAACAAAGCAUUGCGAUAGCUGUAAUCGGUGUUGACGCGAUGUGAUUUCUGCCCAGUGCUCUGAAUGUUAAAGUGAAGGAACUCAUUAAAGCGCGAGUUAACGGCGGAAGUAACUAUGACUUUCUUAAGGUAGCCAAAUGCCUCGUCAUCUAAUUAGUGACGUGCAUGAAUGGAUUAUUGAGAUUCCUUCUGUCCCUGUCUGCAACCUAGCGAAACCACAGCCAAGGGAACGGGCUUGGAGAGUAACAGCGGGGAAAGAAGACCCUGUUGAGCUUGACUCUAGUCAGUCUUUGUGAAGAAACAUGAUGGGUGUAGAAUAGGUGGGAGGACGCGACAGUGAAAUACCACUACUAUCAUCGUUUCUUUACUUACUCAAUUGAUCAGGGAGCGUGAAUUCGCUAUUUGCGAUGUAUGAUUAUUCCUUCAGUGGAAUAAGUGUCUGGUUUGAGAACACAGACUGAUUGGGAGUUUGACUGGGGCGGUACAUCUGUUAAAAUCUAACGCAGGUGUCCUAAGGCAAUCUCAGCGUGGACAGAAACCUCGCAUAGAGCGAAAGGGCAAAAGAUUGCUUGAUCUUGAUUUUCAGUACGAAUAAAGACAAUGAAAGUUUGGCUUGUCGAUCCUUUUGAAUUUUACGAGUUUUAAGCAAGAGGUGUCAGAAAAGUUACCACAGGGAUAACUGGCU